CACAACCCUAUAGACAGACAUAACCCUUUGUUUUUCAACAAUAUAGACGGCUGCUUUACAGAGUCACGUGAGGCACAUAGGCUCAUUAUACUAUGUAUUUCUAAGUUGGCAAUUUCUUCAUGCCAUAGGGGCAUAGGGUCAAUGAAGAUGCUUUGACAAUUGGCCCUUAAAAUAUGUUGCUCUUCUGGUAAAACAAAGUCAAGAAUUGCACCUUAGCUUAGCUGCCAGUAAUUUUAUCAGCUUUGCCAUUGAUGGAGUUAAUCUGGGUUUCAAUCACUGCCUGAACUCUGGAGGGACUCUGCAAAUAAAUUAAGGGGUCUUGGAAGAAUUUCAUCAUCAUAGAUAGCAGCUGUUAAGAUCAUUACAAUACCAUAAUGAAUAGGGUCCUUAGAACUAAUGUAUACAGCAAAUCUUUUCCCUAUUCAUUGGAUAUAUUUUAUUUAUUUA